rnacentral:lncRNA from 1 species
AAGCUUUUGCAAGGUUACCAGUUCGGUUUUCAUUGGAGGUUUUUGAAGAUCAAGGGGAUUAGAGAAGAGGAGCUUCAUGCUUUGGGUCGGGGAAGGAAAGACAUAGAAUUUGGAUUUUUCUUCUUCAUAGAGUUUUGAGAAGACUGAGGCAAUCGUUGCUGAAGUCAGUGUUGUAAUGGUGAAUCGAGAUUUUUAAAUGAAGUGGGUUUGAAUACUCUUGACUGUUUUGUAAAAUCGAGUUACUUCUGUGAUUGAAGGAUUAAAGGGGUGUCUAUAGGAUUGAGUAU